AGAAUCUACCUUCAGGUCGGGGAUAACCCCUGGAAACGGGGGCUAAUACCGGAUAGGUCGAAAGAUGAAAGGUUAACUGCCUGAAGAGGGGCUCGCGUCUGAUUAGCUAGUAGGUGUGGUAAGAGCGCACCUAGGCGACGAUCAGUAGCUGGUCUGAGAGGAUGAGCAGCCACACUGGGACUGAGACACGGCCCAGACUCCUACGGGAGGCAGCAGUGGGGAAUUUUCCGCAAUGGGCGAAAGCCUGACGGAGCAAGACCGCGUGGGGGAGGAAGGCCUUUGGGUUGUAAACCCCUUUUGUUAGGGAAGAAAAAAAUGACGGUACCUAACGAAUCAGCCUCGGCUAACUCCGUGCCAGCAGCCGCGGUAAUACGGAGGAGGCAAGCGUUAUCCGGAAUUAUUGGGCGUAAAGCGUCCGUAUGUGGCCCGGCAAGUCUGCUGUCAUAGACCACAGCUCAACUGUGGAAAGGCAGUGGAAACUGCAAGGCUAGAGUGCGGUAGGGGUAGAGGGAAUUCCCAGUGUAGCGGUGAAAUGCGUAGAGAUUGGGAAGAACACCGGUGGCGAAAGCGCUCUACCUGGGCUCGCAACUGACACUGA
rnacentral:rRNA from 1 species